GCUCCGGUAGCCUAGUGGUUAGAACGUCCGCCUCGGUUGCGAGAGGUCGUCGGUUCGAUCCCCGAUCGAGUCA